GAGAAUAGCUCAAUUGGUAGAGCAACGGUCUCCAAAACCGUAGGUUGGGGGUUCGAGUCCCUCUUCUCC
rnacentral:tRNA from 1 species